GGCCUGCUGGCUGCGAGGCCGACCCGAGACAGUUGUGCUGAUGAAGUGGUGGAGCUGGUUCCUGCUCGCCGCCGUGCCGCGCGCGCCGGCCAGCCUCUGGGCGCUCCGCGCUCCCAGCUCGGAGUUGUGCAAUCCUUUGUAGCACGCCAGAGUCCUCCUCCUUCGCUGUUGCCUCUCGCUCGCGCUCGCGCUCUCUCUCUCUCUCUCUCUCUCUCUCGCUCUCUCUCUCUCUCUCUCUCUCUCUCCCCCCCCCUCUUUUUUUUUUUUUCCAAGCUGUGAGCUCAACCGAUGAGUCAGAGCAGUGCAAUCCUGACACUGCAUCGCAGGACUGGGGGUGACACGGAGGGAGGGAGAGCGAUCGCGAGGCAGACACCGCGGGAGCGGGGUGCGCCGAGGUUCCUGCGACGUGAGCGAGGGGUGACAGCCCGCGCGUCCCGCCCGGGCCCUGCCAGCAAACUUCCCAGCCUUGGGAGGCGCUGGCUGGCGGAAGCCCUGCGAGCGCCGCGGGGAGGCGGCGGCGCCUGUUUGUUUUUAAAAUCCGGGAGUGCGUGCAGGCGGCUGGAGCCUGGGAGGCGACCGAAGGCGGCGGCCCGCGGCGGAAGGGGAACAGCCGAUGCUGGAGCCCGGGCAAGAGCCGGGUAGUCAGGUGGCUUCAGGACUAAGGGGAAAGCGAGAAACCUUCCCAGGUUGAGAAUUUAUGGGUCUUUUACCUACUGCUCUGGACAGUGAAUAAUAGGGGUGUAAACGUUCAAUUACUGUUAUAAACCAGCUCACCGCAUGACCCUGGCCCAGUCUUCGUUCUAAUUGGAUCGGCCUCUGGAUGGUUACUCUGGUCUGAGUAACUCCUAGGGGACAAGACGGUGAAGACCCUAGAGGGUCCCUCCAUCCCCGCACCCCCCCCCCCCAUACAGCUUGCUUUGGGACAGUCUGCCCACUGCCAGGGUGGCUUUUCCAAGUGCCAGGCAGAACUCUCACCCUAUGCUAGGAAAGGGUGCCCUGGAAUGCCCAUGGGACGAGAAUUCAACUUUUAAAUGUGGGGUUUAAAAAUAACUCAAUUGUUUAGCCUUAUGGACUGCUGCUUGUAAUAAAUGGGGGAAAAAAGAAAAAGGAAAAUAGGCACUUACAAAUUCAGUUAAGGGCUUCCUUCCCAUGGCUGCCGAAUCCAGGGAAGGGCUGCCCAGUAGAGCCAGAAGAGGAGUGGGGUGGGAGGGAGUAUGGGGGAAGCACAUGGAGAACAGUGUCUUGGAAGGGGAAUGGGCCCAGUCUAGGAAUCUGGCCAUGAUAGCGCCUCUCCUGCUGUUGGGUGUCCCAGAAGGAAACUGUUUACUGUGGAGUAGGGAUGGCCGAAAGUAGCUGGGAGAUUCCUGCUGAUCCUUCGAGGCCUAUUUCAAAUGCCGCUUCUUUUGUGAUGUCUCAGCCUUCUUCUGAACACUCAUUUCCACCUUACGUAGUCAUUUGUAUACAUGUUGUGCUGUGGUGCUCAAAACAUAAACUCAGAGAUAGUGUCUGUUCCUCCUUCGAACAGCUGCAGUGAGGAUUCUGAAAUGCAGAAAGUACAUUUCAGGAUCACCCUAGCCUCUGCUCUAGUGUGUGCUCCGUGUUGUUCUCACAGUGCUUGGCUUCUAGUGGGUGUUUAGUGUAUGUUAGUCGAACAAAUGAAUGAAAGAUCUCCAUCAAGAAAAGGUGGACUUGCAUGAGGUGGGUGCAGGGGGUCCUGCUACUGUGACUCAUCGUGCACCUUUGGUUUCAAAAGGGUUAGUCCAUGAGUGAGUGAUUUAGGUGCUGGUGAGCUCAGUUUUUUGGCCCUGUCCUACAGCUGGUCUUUGGCAGACAGAUUGUGUCUGGUCAUUCUGACCCCAGUGGGAACUCAGGGUGAAAGAGUGAAGCCUUCUGCCUGGCAAUCUGCUAACCUGGGUAUUUCCUUUGACCACGUCUGGCACCUGUGUGUGUAUUACGAUGGAGGAGUUGCUCCCACACAGUAGAGACUGCCUGUGUGGGGCUGAACUAAAUAAACUGUACGCAGGUCUGGAGCUAGGUGGAGUGUGCUGAAAUCCCGGCUUCUUACUUAAGGGAGCUACAUUUGCAUUCGAAGCAACAUUCAGGAUACCCUGAGACUGAGCUCAUUUUAUGAAUCAGAAGCAUUACAGCAUCAUUUUGUGUUGGAAACUUCUGUUUGGAAUCCAGAUCACCCUCCCUCCACCCCAACACAUGCACACUUCUAGGGGUGCUCACAGUCACACACUUGGGAGUGAUGACAGUUAGUGGGGCAUCAGUUCAGAUUCCAGAGCCAUCAGGCAAAGCUUGUCCACACCCACUUCUGCCCCCAUACUCAGAACACCAUUCCUGGAUGGUGUGGGGACAGUAACCCAGGCAGUGACUGUGAAGGAAGCCUGGCAAGUGCACAGGAAUGAGGACUGGUCAGAUGUGGGUUCCUACUCCAGCUUCUUUACUUCCUGUGUAGCUUUGGGCAUUGCUUAAUUUCCUGAGCCUCAGUUUCCUCACGUGUAAAAUGAGGGUGAUAAUAGGGUUGCUGUGAAGGUUAAACAAGAUCAUGCAUGCAAAGUGCCUGGCACACAGUAGGUACUCAACAGAUGAUGGCUAUCAUUUCACUGUUUCCCCCAAGUCCAGCUGUUUGCCUUUUGCUCCUCCCAGGGAAGAGGAAAUGAAGUCUGUCCUGCCUGUGGUAGGAGGGCCCUCCUCCAGCGCACUGGGGUUUGUGUGAAUGAAACUCGUUUUGUAAGUCCCUAGGCCGUGGGUAUAGCUGUGUGAUCCUUGCCCACCUAGACCGGCCCAGGUCCUGGUGCCUGAGUGUUUUUGCAAGGGAUUCCGUCCCUGCAGCCCAGGGUUAAGGGCUCAGCUUCCCAGAGAUCAGAUGGUGCUCUCGGGAACCUACCCGCCCAGGCCUCAGGCUGAACUGCUCACGUGGGUGGGAGGAAGGCUGCUUUCUCAGCCCAGGAAAAAGUCCCCUUGUCUUUGCUUCACCUGAAGCCUCCCAGUGUGACCUCAGUGGAGGUUUGGGUGGAGCUGAGGGUGGGAGUUGUCCUUCUAAAGAGCGCUUUGGCUCUUUCACCAAUUGAAAUAGCAGGGGUGGAGGUGGGGGGGGGAGACACCAACAUAUUAUAUAAGAAGAAAGUUGCCACAUGUCAAGAAGGAG
rnacentral:lncRNA from 1 species